rnacentral:misc_RNA from 1 species
GAUGAAGAACGCAGCGAAAUGCGAUAAGUAGUGUGAAUUGCAGAAUUCCGUGAAUCAUCGAAUCUUUGAACGCACAUUGCGCCUUCUGGUAUUCCGGAAGGCAUGCCUGUUCGAGAGUCAUUAACAACCGUUUCGAUCCCUUUCUUUCAGAAAUUACAAAGAGGAAAAGGGUUUGGUUUUGGUGGAGGAGGGAAAGGGAGCGUUUAGCCUGUAAAAAAAGAGGCUGUGUUCCGCCUCCCCCCCAAAAUUGUACAGGCGGUCGUGUGCGCCCACGCAUCGAGGUGUUGUAAAAGCUGCCACGGCACUUUUCACCUGUGCAGUGCGAGAUUGGCCAGCCGGUUUAAAAACCCCUCCAAACAAUCAAAGGUUGACCUCGGAUCAGGUAGGGAUACCCGCUGAACUUAAGCAUAUCAAUAAGCGGAGG